UACGGAGGGUGCAAGCGUUAUCCGGAUUCACUGGGUUUAAAGGGUGCGUAGGCGGGCCUAUAAGUCAGUGGUGAAAGCCCUUCGCUUAACGAAGGAAUUGCCAUUGAUACUGUAGGUCUUGAGUAUAGUUGAGGUGGGCGGAAUGUGUCAUGUAGCGGUGAAAUGCUUAGAUAUGACACAGAACACCGAUUGCGAAGGCAGCUCGCUAAACUAUAACUGACGCUGAGGCACGAAAGCGUAGGUAGCAAACAGG
rnacentral:rRNA from 1 species